GAUGAACGCUGGCGGCGUGCUUAACACAUGCAAGUCGAGCGAUUCUCUUCGGAGAAGAGCGGCGGACGGGUGAGUAAUGCUUAGGAAUCUGCCUAUUAGUGGGGGACAACAUCUCGAAAGGGAUGCUAAUACCGCAUACGUCCUACGGGAGAAAGCAGGGGACCUUCGGGCCUUGCGCUAAUAGAUGAGCCUAAGUCGGAUUAGCUAGUUGGUGGGGUAAAGGCCUACCAAGGCGACGAUCUGUAGCGGGUCUGAGAGGAUGAUCCGCCACACUGGGACUGAGACACGGCCCAGACUCCUACGGGAGGCAGCAGUGGGGAAUAUUGGACAAUGGGGGGAACCCUGAUCCAGCCAUGCCGCGUGUGUGAAGAAGGCCUUUUGGUUGUAAAGCACUUUAAGCGAGGAGGAGGCUACCGAGAUUAAUACUCUUGGAUAGUGGACGUUACUCGCAGAAUAAGCACCGGCUAACUCUGUGCCAGCCGCCGCGGUAA
rnacentral:rRNA from 1 species